GCCGGGAUAGCUCAGCGGUAGAGCAGCUGUUUUGUAAACAGCAGGUCGCAGGUUCAAAUCCUGUUCCCGGCU
rnacentral:tRNA from 1 species